UAAAAAUUUUUCAGGGUUUUUAUUUUCUAAUUGUUCACAUGAUAUUACUAUGAGAAGAGAAAGGGUUAACUAGCCCUAAAGAUGUGUCAGAAGUUGAAAAAUAUAUGAUAAAUCAUGUUUAUGUAGUAAUAGGAAAAGAUCUCUAAGAUAAAUUGUGAGUCAAAAAAGCAGUUUUGCAAGAUGACAAGCAGAUUAAGUUUCUGUAAAGACAGCCCACAUGCAAAGCAAUGCUCCGUGCCUUUCUUAAGCCUGCUUAUCUACCUGAACAACUCUAAGGCAGAACGGAAAAAAGACUGGAAAGGCUAGGAACCCAAACCAAGAACAGUCAUUCUUUUCUACAUUGGUACUUGACAUCACAUGGAGCACGCUUUCUUCCACUCACUCUUUCCAACUAGCCAAGCCAACAACUACUUAGCUUCCCCAAAGGCGAACCUUCAGUUCUGCUUCUGUGUGUUCACACCCACCUGGAUUCCUCCUCCUACAGUUGUACAGUACCUGCCACAUCUCAUGUUAUUCACCUGUCCACUUACCUUGAUCUCCUCCGUAAGACUGAAAGGAACUAGGACGUCAUUGCCUAGCGCGAACACAACACCUGGCACAUGGCGAAGGGCUGUAACACAGGACUGCACAGCAGUGGAGUAUGUUGGAACUUGGGGAGUGUCACGGACAGCAAAGUUCCUCAUUGGUAAGUCUGUCAAAGCUACCCAUCUCUACUGUCCAUUCUCUGUGCAACUGCUUCUGUCUCACAUAACAAAGUCAAUGUGUAUGUUUUUAAAUCUUUCUUUCCCCAAGACUGCCUACUACAUACAAGUAAAUGCUUAUUUGAAUACAAUUAAUAAGCACAAUUUUGCCCCAUCAAAUCUGCAAGAGUUUACCCACAUUGAAGCAGUUUUUUGUAUAAAAUAACUAGAAUUGGUAAAACAUAUUUAAUAUCUAGGCAAGAUUUGGCAUCACAGUAGUAUCAAGGGACUAAAGAGAA